rnacentral:rRNA from 1 species
UGCCUACGGGAGGCAGCAGUGGGGAAUAUUGGGCAAUGGGCGCAAGCCUGACCCAGCAACGCCGCGUGAAGGAAGAAGGCUUUCGGGUUGUAAACUUCUUUUAACAGGGAAGAGCAGAAGACGGUACCUGUUGAAUAAGCCACGGCUAACUACGUGCCAGCAGCCGCGGUAAUACGUAGGUGGCAAGCGUUGUCCGGAUUUACUGGGUGUAAAGGGCGUGCAGCCGGGUUUAUAAGUCAGAUGUGAAAUCCCGCGGCUCAACCGCGGAACUGCAUUUGAAACUGUAGAUCUUGAGUACUGGAGAG